rnacentral:lncRNA from 1 species
AGGGUGUGGAAUGGUAUUUUAUUUUAUUUUUUGUAUUUUUGAUUGUUAUUCAAUUCAUUAGGGUCUGUUUCCCCUAAGGGUUUAGGGGAGUUCUAUGGUGUUUUGGACUUUGGGAGGGGUUUGAUGAGUUUGAGCGUACGUUGAAGAAAUGAGCUUGAGCUAACAGAGAAUUAAGGGGGAAGGAGGUGGGGGACCACAGAUGGGAGGAGAGACCGACAAAGAGCAUCUUUUGUUACAUGGGUUUGCGUCCCAAUGGUGCAUGCGAAAGAGCAGCAGAUCGAACAAGGAAGGAAGAAGCAGAUCACAGUAGCUAGCUGCACUUUGCACUGAGAAUUGAGUUGAAUGAGAUCGAGAGCAGCAGAAAGAUACAUAUAGUCGUUUUGAUUUGUAUGUUGGGAGCUAGCUAGCUUGGUUUGUGCCGACUGCUGCAUGCUGCUGCUGCUGAGAACGAGAGAGAGAGAGAGAGAGAGAGAGAGAGAGAGAGAGAGAGAGAGAGAGAGAGAGAGAGAGAGUAGUAGUUAGUAGUAGUAGUAGUAGUNNNNNNNNNNNNNNNNNNNNGAGAGAGAGAGAGAAAGAGUGAGCUGGUUAAUUUUGAGAAGAUCGAGUUUGGUUGUUACCGGUGUUUAGUUUGUUUUGUUUGCAGCAAACUCUCCGGCGCUCGUGCAGUGGCGCUUUCCUUGUCUGGUAGAGAGAGAUUGUCAGCGCCACCCACGCGUCUUUAGCUCUCACUCCCACGCUAGGGUUAGCUGGAAUAUCUAUUAUGCGGUCAAACCAUGCUUGCUCUCUUCCCUCCCACCAACCCUUACCUUACACACAACCUGUCUCUCUCUCCCUCUAGUUUGUCUUUGCUGGCCUUUUCUAGUGCAACUCUUUCACUUACACAUGCAUCCAUGCCUCUCCUCCUCGAUCACCAUCAUCAUCAUCAUCAUUUGUGUGCUCCCUCGAUCUCUAGCUAAGCUGCUAUAGCUUGCUAGCUCUCAAAUGCUUGUUAUGGUACUUCUGGAUCUGUUUUUCCCAAAACAGAUCUUGUAUAGAUUAUAGCUAGAUAUGUACUUCAGAAUUCAUUUGAUUGUGUUGUUUAUACACACGUAUAUCAUACUGCGUACUUCUCUAGCUAGACAAACUACAAAGAGACCAUGUUCGUGAAUCAUGUAUAUUUUAUCUCACGUAAUAGAACCCAAAUGAAAUGAUUUAAUUAUCCCCAAGACUCUCCAAUCCAUCACUCACUCUCUUAGUAGCUCAUUUGCUGCACUGAAUCAGAAUUUUCGGCAUGUUUAAUUAUGUUGAUAAUGUUUAUACGGAGUAAGAUAGCUUAACCAAAUUGUAUUUAAGUUCAUUUCAGACUACGAAGGUGUUAAAUUGGUUUAGGUGUCUUAUAACUAUAUAUGACUAAUCAUAUGAUUCAUGUCUGUCCGGGCAUGGUCAUUCUAGUUAGCUUUCUUCUGUCACUUCUCAACAAAUAAAAUGUUAUGAUGGUAGUACCUGUAAAGUGACUUUCUCAGUGUUAGGCUUUGUUUCUUUAUGACCAUGAUUGUGUUUUGCUGAACUCCUCUUCUGCACCAAUGAAAACAACUGUGAAUGCACAAAAUGAAAGAUUCGGACCCAUCAAUCUUGAUCAUCAAACUAGUUCGGCCAAUUCUCUUUUCUUAGAUGCGGGUGCGAGUUAUACAUCAUUCUUCUACAACUUCUUCGAUCCUCAUUAGUUCGAUUACUGCUAGUGCCUUUCACCUUUGCAGUCACAGAGAAGUAGUUCGAAUAUAAAGACUAACCAUCUCAAUCAAUUAUUCUUUCCUUAUAAAAGAGUAUCAUCCACAAACCUCGAAGUUAUGGAGUAAACACGCAUCCAAGUAAGAACUCUUUGGAUUUGAUUGUUUUAUAGUCUAGUAAACUUUUGUUAUAGUUAAUAUUACCCUAUGCCAAAUGGAACUAUACACCCGGGCCAAUUAAAAUCAUUAGGAUCUUACCAAAAGGUAACCACGAAAGGUACACAUCAAGUACCAAACUGAGGAUAACUUUAAAAGUGUUUCUGAAUAAUUUUCUAUGUGAUACUAAUUAGCAUUCAUAUCGAUUGAUCAUAUAUACUAAUUGAGGAUGUUAAUUUGUAUAUAUUCGUUUUAAGUUUAGAGUUUGCAUCAAGUAAGAAAACAAUUCA